rnacentral:rRNA from 1 species
UACGUAGGGUGCAAGCGUUAAUCGGAAUUACUGGGCGUAAAGCGUGCGCAGGCGGUUUUGUAAGCCAGAUGUGGAAGCCCCGGGCUCAACCUGGGAACUGCGUUUGGAACUACAAGACUAGAGUGUGUCAGAGGGGGGUGGAAUUCCGCGUGUAGCAGUGAAAUGCGUAGAGAUGCGGAGGAACACCGAUGGUGAAGGUAGUUUCCUGGGAUAAUAUUGAUGUUCAUGCACGAAAGCGUGGGGAGCAAACAGG